rnacentral:lncRNA from 1 species
AGAGCAGCGAUACCCUUACCUGUGAAAUAUUUCAAUUUCAUAUACUCAUUCGUGGAAUAGCCCACUACUGAAUCUAUCAUGAUUAUUGAAGUUGCAAAGACGUGCUUCAAUUUUAAGAUUCAAUCCAUUCGAAAAUUAAUGUAUAGAGAGUAGAAUU